rnacentral:rRNA from 1 species
CCAAGGCGACGAUCAGUAGCCGACCUGAGAGGGUGAUCGGCCACAUUGGAACUGAGACACGGUCCAAACUCCUACGGGAGGCAGCAGUGGGGAAUAUUGCACAAUGGGCGAAAGCCUGAUGCACCAACGCCGCGUGAGUGAUGAAGGCCUUCGGGUCGUACAACUCUGUCCUCUCUGAAGAUAAUGACGGUACUUGAGGAGGAAGCCCCGGCUAACUACGUGCCAGCAGCCGCGGUAAUAC